GAAAUGCGAUAAGUAAUGUGAAUUGCAGAAUUCAGUGAAUCAUCUAAUCUUUGAACGCACCUUGCGCUCCUUGGUAUUCCUUGGAGCAUGCCUGUUUGAGUAUCAUGAAAUCUUCAAAGUAAAUCUGUUGUUAACUCAAUUGGUUUCUACUUUGGUAUUGGAGGUCUUUGCAGCUUCACACCUGCUCCUCUUCGUUCAUUAGCUGGAUCUCAGUGUUAUGCUUGGUUCCACUCGGCGUGAUAAGUUAUCUAUCGCUGAGGACACUGUAAAAGGUGGCCAAGGUAAAUGCAGAUGAACCGCUUCUAAUAGUCCAUUGACUUGGACAAUACUUUUAUGAUCUGAUCUCAAAUCAGGUAGGACUACCCGCUGAACUUAAGC
rnacentral:misc_RNA from 1 species